rnacentral:rRNA from 1 species
CGAGCGCCCCGCAAGGGGAGCGGCGGACGGGUUAGUAACGCGUGGGAAUGUACCCUUUUCUACGGAAUAGCCUCGGGAAACUGAGAUUAAUACCGUAUACGCCCUUCGGGGGAAAGAUUUAUCGGAGAAGGAUCAGCCCGCGUAAGAUUAGAUAGUUGGUGGGGUAAUGGCCUACCAAGUCUACGAUCUUUAGCUGGUUUGAGAGGAUGAUCAGCAACACUGGGACUAAGACACGGCCCAG